GCAGCAGAACCGCAUUGUGUGGUCCGGGUUUCACGGAUGACAGAAGAAAUCCUACUGAAAUCUGUGGUUCAUUUUCCAAAGCCCGGAGCACGCCCUGAAGUCGCUCACUGUGGUGCUUUCCCAUUGAUCUCAACAGGGCAGAGCUGGGCCCGUGCUGAAGGCUUCUGAAAGCGCUGCUCUGCGAUUGUAGAUCUGGUCCCGUCGCCUCUUGUGACCUCAGCCCUGUUUCACCGCUGCAAGAGACAGCGAGGUCUGGCAGCCCUGCUCGUCUCCAGAUUUGGAAAAUGCAGAUAUUCACAAAGCCAUGCUGCAAACCCAUUUCCUCAAGUGGCUGUCAGGACUGAGAAGGAGAGCCUUUGAAUACCUGGAAGCUGGUUUCCACCAGGAGGUGCCACUGCACGUUACCCAUAGACUGAGGGCUGGCUCUGCUCCAUGACUGUUGAAGAAGAAGGAACACAGUGAAAUUCCACCCAAGGCAUGUUCACUCAGCCGUCCCCAAAUUCCCACAUUGGCUGCUCAUCUCUGCUCUCUAAUUAGGCCCGCUCCAGCUUUGUGGAGGAGGAGAGAGCCGGCGUAUGCAAAAGGUGUACACAGCAAACGUGUGUCUGCUGUGCUGCCGCGUCCCAGCCCGGAGAGACAGCCUCGGCCUGCACACCUCUCUUCAUGGAGCUCCUGGGAUAUAACAGAGGCUUCCCCUGCCAAGGCAAACAACUGACCGAGAGAUGAAGAUGGUGCCAUUGUGGAUAGAGCAGGCUGUGGAAGAUGAAAGACGACAGUGAAGGCAAGUCCCCACUUUUGUCACAUCUCCUCUAGUAAUCCUCCCACCACAGCUGGCUCCCUUUGGAAUAACCACACUAAGGUGACCCCCCCACUUCCUACGGGAGAACAGGAGUGGGACUCAGAGCAGCGGUUCCCAGGCUCGGGGGAUGUCAGCCUGAAGCAGGCUGUUCUUUGUGGCUGUUUAGAUGGGAGUCUGAUAGUGAGGGAGCAGGGGAGGCUGCCAGAAAGUGCAAAGGACGGCAAAUAGAGCUGAUAUGUGCUGACUGAGAAAGCUUGGGAACUGUUAUAUCUGACAUCACCCCUGUCAUUAGUUGUCUUCUGUGGAACUGGGCAGGCCCACUUUGCAGACAAAGUGGGUAGAGUAAAAGUCUCAGCUUCUGGCCUUUUCUGGGCAGUGGGUUUUUCCUCACUUACAGAGCCGG
rnacentral:lncRNA from 1 species